rnacentral:rRNA from 1 species
GAACGCUGGCGGCAGGCCUAACACAUGCAAGUCGAACGGUAACAGGAAGCAGCUUGCUGCUUGCUGACGAGUGGCGGACGGGUGAGUAAUGUCUGGGAAACUGCCCGAUGGAGGGGGAUAACUACUGGAAACGGUAGCUAAUACCGCAUAAUGUCGCAAGACCAAAGAGGGGGACCUUCGGGCCUCUUGCCAUCGGAUGUGCCCAGAUGGGAUUAGCUUGUUGGUGAGGUAACGGCUCACCAAGGCGACGAUCCCUAGCUGGUCUGAGAGGAUGACCAGCCACACUGGAACUGAGACACGGUCCAGACUCCUACGGGAGGCAGCAGUGGGGAAUAUUGCACAAUGGGCGCAAGCCUGAUGCAGCCAUGCCGCGUGUAUGAAGAAGGCCUUCGGGUUGUAAAGUACUUUCAGCGGGGAGGAAGGGGUUAAGGUUAAUAACCUUAGCCAUUGACGUUACCCGCAGAAGAAGCACCGGCUAACUCCGUGCCAGCAGCCGC